AAUACCGCAUAAUGUCUUCGGACCAAACGGGGCUUCGGCUCCGGCGCAAAGAGAGGCCCAAGUGAGAUUAGCUAGUUGGUAAGGUAACGGCUUACCAAGGCGACGAUCUCUAGCUGUUCUGAGAGGAAGAUCAGCCACACUGGGACUGAGACACGGCCCAGACUCCUACGGGAGGCAGCAGUGGGGAAUAUUGCACAAUGGGGGAAACCCUGAUGCAGCCAUGCCGCGUGUGUGAAGAAGGCCUUCGGGUUGUAAAGCACUUUCAGUUGUGAGGAAAAGUUAGUAGUUAAUACCUGCUAGCCGUGACGUUAACAACAGAAGAAGCACCGGCUAACUCCGUGCCAGCAGCCGCGGUAAUACGGAGGGUGCGAGCGUUAAUCGGAAUUACUGGGCGUAAAGCGCACGCAGGCGGUUUGUUAAGCUAGAUGUGAAAGCCCCGGGCUCAACCUGGGAUGGUCAUUUAGAACUGGCAGACUAGAGUCUUGGAGAGGGGAGUGGAAUUCCAGGUGUAGCGGUGAAAUGCGUAGAUAUCUGGAGGAACAUCAGUGGCGAAGGCGACUCCCUGGCCAAAGACUGACGCUCAUGUGCGAAAGUGUGGGUAGCGAACAGGAUUAGAUACCCUGGUAGUCCACACCGUAAACGCUGUCUACUAGCUGUGUGUGCCUUUAAGGCGUGCGUAGCGAAGCUAACGCGCUAAGUA
rnacentral:rRNA from 1 species